rnacentral:lncRNA from 1 species
AUGUACGCCCUCCUGUACACCUAUGACUGCCCUCCAACCCAACGAACCAACUGCAUGAUAAAAUAUGCAGAUGACACCACUGUGGCUGGACGCAUCUGUGACGGGGACGAGACAGCGUACAGGGCCGAGGUGGAGGAACUGUCGCGCUGGUGCUCAGAAAACAACUUGACCCUGAAUAUCCUUAAAACAAAAGAACUCAUCAUGGACUUCAGGAAACACAGACAGGACUACACCCCCCUCCUCAUAAAUGGAGAGCAGGUGGAAACUGUUACAACCUUCAAGUUUCUAGGCACCCACAUCUCCACUGACCACUCCUGGACUGUUAACAUCAGGGCCCUGGUUAAGUCGGCUCAGCAGCGGCUACACUUUCUGCGUGUCCUCAGAAAAAAACAAUCUAGACACAAAGCUGCUGCUGGCCUUCUACCACUCGUCUGUGGUGUGCGUUCUGACGCACUGCCUGAAUGUGUGGUACGCAGGCUCCACAGCCGAGGACAGGAAGGCAGUGCAGGGGGUCAUUACCACUGCCCAAAAGAUCAUCGGCUCCCCUCUGCCCAGCCUGGAAAACAUCUCCACAUCCUGCUUGGACUUGGACUCUUCUUGGACUUCUCCAGUGCCUUUAAUACCAUCCAGCCCCCUAUACUUCAGGACAAACUGUACAGGAUGGGAGUGCACCCCCAUCUGGUGGACUGGAUCAAAGACUACCUCACUGACAGGCCACCGUACGUCAGGCUGAAGGACACCACGUCUGACACUGUGGUCAGCAGCACUGGAGCCCCCAAGGGCACAAUGCUGGCCCCUCUUCUCUUCACCCUGUUCACCUCUGACUUUUGCUACAACUCGGAGCUCUGUCACAUACAGAAGUACGCCGAUGGCACAGCCAUCGUUGGAUGUAUCAGGGGUGACAGAGAGGAGGAGUAUCGGAGUCUGGUGGGGGACUUUGCUCUCUGGUGUCACACUAACUGCCUACAGCUCAACAUCUCUAAGACGAAGGAGCUGGUCAUUGACUUUGGGAGGUCCAGACCAAGACCGCGACCAGUCCUGCUAGAGGGAGCUGAGGUGGAGGCUGUGCAGUCAUACAAAUACCUCGGACUGUGGCUGGAUAAUAAACUGGACUGGACAACACACACCAGCCACCUGUACAGGAAGACACAAAGCAGGCUGUACUUCCUGAGGAGAUUGUGGUCUUUCAACAUCUGCAGCAAACUAACUGCAGCAGACUGGUAA